rnacentral:rRNA from 1 species
AGACUUUGAUCCUGGCUCAGAUUGAACGCUGGCGGCAUGCCUAACACAUGCAAGUCGAACGGUAACAGGGGCUUCGGCCCGCUGACGAGUGGCGGACGGGUGAGUAACGCGCAGGAAUCUGCCUGGUAGCGGGGGACAACUCGGGGAAACUCGAGCUAAUACCGCAUACGCCCUACGGGGGAAAGCGGGGGACCUUCGGGCCUCGCACUAUCAGAUGAGCCUGCGUCCGAUUAGCUUGUUGGUGAGGUAAUGGCUCACCAAGGCUACGAUCGGUAGCUGGUCUGAGAGGAUGAUCAGCCACACUGGGACUGAGACACGGCCCAGACUCCUACGGGAGGCAGCAGUGGGGAAUAUUGGACAAUGGGCGCAAGCCUGAUCCAGCAAUGCCGCGUGUGUGAAGAAGGCCUGCGGGUUGUAAAGCACUUUCAGUGGGGAAGAAAAGCCGCCGGCUAAUAUCCGGCAGUCCUACAUACCCAUCAGAAGAAGCACCGG